GCUCGCGUCGCGUGCCCGGCCGGCAAACCGCGACCGAUCGAACAACCCGAACCGCCUGCCACCGCAGCAGCGGCAAAUCCGAGCACGCCGGCGGCGGCGGCAUCACGGCGCGGGGCCGGCUUCACCGCACGCGCGCGGCUCUCGUGCCGUGCGCGCCUCGGCCUCCCCCCACUUUCCCCAGGCGCCGGGAGGCGGAUCGUGGUGGGAUUCGGGUGCCGGUCAGAAGGCCGGGGAUUUAAGGAAAAUGGCGGUGCGGGCGGGGUGGGUGGUGGCGGUGGCGCGGGGGUCGGCGGCGGCGUGGCAGCGCGUGGCGUGCAACCCGGAGACGCUCCCGCCCGACCGCGUCCUCGCGCUCAUCUUCUGCGGGCCGCUCCACCUCCUCGCGCGCCUCGCCGCCUGCCUCUGCGUCCCCCUCCUCGCCGCCAGCGCCCCCUUCCGCUUCGCCUCCCCUCGCCGCCGCCGCCGCCUGCUCCAGCUCCCGGCCCCCGAGCUUCUGCUCGCCCCGUACUCCCCCACCCGUUCCUCCUCCUCCUCCUCCUCCUCUUCAUCUUCCGACGAGGAUGACGGCGACGGCGACUACGGCGGCAUUGAGGACGGGGACGACAUCAGCCCUCACGUCGAUUGAGAUUUGAAAGCGCGUCACUGAGUUGCACGCCUGGUUUUGUCAGUCUACAUGAUCAAGUUAUCGCCAUUAAAACAAACAUAGUAGUUUAGUUGCCCAUCCAGGAGUUGCAUUUGCAAGUUGGUGUCCAACAAACCUUGGAUUCUGAAGGGACAAGGUGACUCUGGAGUCUACACGCACUCAUUUUCCAAGGUUGCUUAGGAAUAGGCUCUGCAAGAGAGAACUUUGGUCUUCAGUUUCAAAGACACUACGCUUUCCUGCGAUACCUCACGCAAAACCAUCAGGCCUUCUUGUCUCUUAGUUUUCAGGACCUAACAAUUUGUGGAUCAUCAUUGUUAAUAAGCUCAUGGGCUGGGGGAGCCACGAAACAGACAUCCGAGGGAUGAAAACUGGUUGAGAUUGUCGGUGUGUAUAUUAUAUUAUUGUGUUGCAUGUAUAAGUGAAUCUCAUCACCAAGUAGUGGUGAUGAAAUGUCACCUGUGUGGCUGUGUACUCGAAAGUGGAAAUGCAGUUCCAGAUUUCAUUUGAAA